GUCAAGUAGAAGUUGUCAUAUCCCCAGGGAUAAUUGUUGAAUUUAUCAAAAUCCUCAGCACACGCUAACAAAUCAUCUUCUAUGACUUUGCUGUUGUCUCUUGCCAAUAUAACUGAAUGGGAAAACCAAACUAAGCACAAUAGCUCCCUGUACUACUUUGGUAUGUUUUUAUCCAUGAGAUCUGUCAACAAAUUCAAUGAUUUGUAGCCACAUCGAGCAAUGUCAAACAACCCA
rnacentral:lncRNA from 1 species